rnacentral:rRNA from 1 species
CAGCCGCCGCGGUAAUACAUAGGGUGCAAGCGUUGUCCGGAAUUAUUGGGCGUAAAGAGCUCGUAGGUCGUUUGUUACGUCGGAUGUGAAAACCUGAGGCUCAACCUCAGGCCUGCAUUCGAUACGGGCAAACUAGAGUUUGGUAGGGGAGACUGGAAUUCCUGGUGUAGCGGUGGAAUGCGCAGAUAUCAGGAGGAACACCAAUGGCGAAGGCAGGUCUUUGGGCCAAUACUGACACUGAGGAGCGAAAGUCUGGGGAGCGAACAGGAUUAGAUACCCUGGUAGUCCAGACCGUAAACGGUGGGCACUAGUUGUGGGAACCUUCCACGGUUUCUGCGAUGCACCUAACGCAUUAAGUGCCCCGCCUGGGGUGUACGAUCGCAAGGUUAAAACUCAAA